ACGCUCGACACCUACGGAGGCAGCAGUGGGGAAUAUUGCACAAUGGGGGAAACCCUGAUGCAGCGACGCCGCGUGGAGGAAGAAGGUCUUCGGAUUGUAAACUCCUGUUGUUGGGGAAAAAGAGGAUGGUACCCAACAAGGAAGUGACGGCUAACUACGUGCCUGCAGCCGCGGUAAUCUGAGGCGGGCUGGACAAGGC
rnacentral:rRNA from 1 species